UACGUAGGGUGCGAGCGUUAAUCGGAAUUACUGGGCGUAAAGUGUGCGCAGGCGGCCGAGCAAGUCGAGUGUGAAAGCCCUGAGCUUAACUUGGGAACUGCGCUCGAAACUACUUGGCUAGAGUGUGGCAGAGGGAGGUGGAAUUCCACGUGUAGCGGUGAAAUGCGUAGAGAUGUGGAGGAAUACCGAUGGCGAAGGCAGCCCCCUGGGCCAAUACUGACGCUCAUGCACGAAAGCGUGGGGAGCAAACAGG
rnacentral:rRNA from 1 species